rnacentral:rRNA from 1 species
CCCUUAGAUGUUCUGGGCCGCACGCGCGCUACACUGACUGGUGCAACAAGUGUCUGACCUUGGCUCGAGAGGCCUGGGCAACCUUUGAACGCCAGUCGUGCUGGGGAUAGAUUCUUGCAAUUAUUAAUCUUCAACGAGGAAUUCCUAGUAAACGCAAGUCAUCAGCUUGCAUUGAUUACGUCCCUGCCCUUUGUACACACCGCCCGUCGCUCCUACCGAUUGAGCAAACCGGUGAAUAGUUUGGACCGUCGGCUUUCUCGGUUCGCCGGGUUAGCAGUGCGGAAAAUUCAGUGAACCUUNUNGCUUAUNGGAAGGAGAANUCGUANCA